ensembl:snRNA U6 U6 spliceosomal RNA
GUCAUUAAGCAGUAUCUAUACUAAAACUGGAAUGAUACAGAGAAGGUUAGCACGGCCCCUGUGCAAGGAUGAUCUGCAAAUUUGUGAAGCAUUCCAUGUCUUU